rnacentral:rRNA from 1 species
GAUGAACGCUGGCGGCGUGCCUAAUACAUGCAAGUCGAGCGAACAGACGAGGAGCUUGCUCCUCUGACGUUAGCGGCACACGGGUGAGUAACACGUGGAUCACCUACCUAUAAUACUGGGAUAACUUCGGGAAACCGGAUCUAAUACCGGAUAAUCUAUUGCACCGCAUUGUUCAAUAGAGAAAUACGGUUUUGCUGUAACUUAUAGCUGGAUCUGCGCCGUAUUAGCUAGUUGUUGAGGUAAAGGCUUACCAAGACAAGCAUGCGUAGCCGAGCUGAGAGGGGGAUAGGCCACACUGGAACUGGAACACGGUCAAGAGGCCUACGGGAGGCAGCAGUAGGGAACCUGCCGCAAUGGGCGAAAGCUUGACGGAGCGACGCCGAGUGAGUGAUAGAGGUCUUCGGAUCGUAAAACCGGGUUAUGAGGUAAAAACAGAUGUGUAAGUAACCAAGCACGUAGUGACGGUAACUAAUCAGAAAGCCACGGCUAACUACGUG